UACAGAGGUGGCAAGCGUUGUUCGGAAUUACUGGGCGUAAAGGGCGCGUAGGCGGCCUUCUAAGUCAGACGUGAAAUCCCCCGGCUUAACCUGGGAACUGCGUCUGAUACUGGGAGGCUUGAGUAUGGGAGAGGGAUGUAGAAUUCCAGGUGUAGCGGUGAAAUGCGUAGAUAUCUGGAGGAAUACCGGUGGCGAAGGCGGCAUCCUGGACCAUUACUGACGCUGAGACGCGAAAGCUAGGGGAGCAAACGGG
rnacentral:rRNA from 1 species